GUGCUCACUUAAGCAACACAUAUACUAAAAUUGGAACAACAGAGAGGUUAGGGAGGCCCCUGCACAAGGAUGACACACAAAUUCGUGAAGUGUUCCACAUUUUU
ensembl:snRNA U6 U6 spliceosomal RNA